CCAAGUGCUUAGGCAGCUGGGAAAGGCCGGUCCCCUUUUUCAGUUCUCUCGCGACCUCUAGCCACUUCCGGUUGCUAACGGUUCCUAAACAGCCCCCGAAAACGCUACGUGAGCUGGGCCCUGGUCCAGAGGCAGAAAACGGACGGAAGAAAAGGUCUGGCCGAUGGCGUUUCUGCUCUUGUUGCCCAGGCUGGAGUAUAAUGGCACGAUGAUCUCGGCUCACCGCAACCUCUGCCUCCUGGGUUCAAGCAACUUUCCUGCCUCAGCUUCCUGAGUAGCUGGGAUUACAGGAGGUGGGUCUCACUCUGUCACCCAGACUGGAGUGCAGUGAGUGGUGCGAUCAUAGCUCACUGCAGCCUGAAACUCCUGAGCUCAAGUGAUCCUCUGGCCUCAGCCUCCUGAGUAGCUGGAGCUACAGGUUUUUAAGCACAAGCCCAGCCUGCUUUCUGGAUGACACCUGCCACAGGUCAUCCUUCCUGAAUUUCCUAAAUAGCCCAGAAUAUUCUUCAAGCGUGCCCCUGGCUCAUCACCCAACUUCAGAGAAUCAACUGGCUAGCACCUUGGAGCACCUGCUGUGGUAACGAAUGAGCAUAGAUGAACAAUGUUGCACCACGCUUGACAUCACCAGGGCUUCUUUCCAGUGUGGAUUUGCUCAUGUGAAAUGAGGUGUGAGCUCUGCCUGAAAGCUUUUCCAUAUGCAUCACAUUUGCAGGGCUUUUCUCCAGUGUGGGUUCUUCGGUGUCCCAAAAGAUGUGAGCUGUUACUGAAAGCUUUCCCACACACAUCACACUCAUAGGGCUUCUCUCUACCGUGGAUUCGCUGGUAUCCAACAAGAGCUGAACUGUAUCUGAAGGCCUUUCCACGCUUGUCACAUUCAUAUGGUUUCUUUCCACUGUGGAUUUUCUGGUGACAGAAGAGGCCCAAGCACUAGCUAAAGCUUUUCCCUCACUCACUACACUGCUAUGGCUUCUCUUCAGUAUGAACUCUGAUGUUGUCUCAGAUAUGAACUCAGAGAGGAUUUCCCACAAUCAUUACACUGGUAUGGUUUCUUUUCCGUGUGAGUUCUCUGGUGUCAAAUAACAUCUGAGCUGUGAUGAAAGACUUUCCCACACUCACUACAUUGGAAAGGUUUCUCCUGUGUGGGUCCUUCAAUGCUGAAUAAGAUAUGAACUGUAAUAAAAGACUUUUUCACACUCAUCACACUGAUAGGGUUUUAUAUGGCUAUGUAUUCUCUGAUGGUCAGUAAGUUGUGAGCUCUGAGUAAAAGUUUUGCUACAUACAUUACAUGAACAGGGUGUGUUACCAGUACAGAUUAUUUUAUGUCUAAUGGGGCUUGAGUUUUGAGUGAAUGUUUUCCCACAUUCAUCACACAUAUAUUUUCUCUCAGUUGAUUGUGUUUCUCUGAUAUAUUUCUUUGUUUUUUGUUUGUUUGUUUGUAUAAGACGGAGUCUCGCUCUGUCGCCCAGGCUGGAGUGCAGUGACGUGAUCUUGGCUCAGUGCAACCUGAGGCUCCCAGGUUCAAGGGAUUCCCCUCUCAGCCUCCCAAGUAGCUGGGAUUACAGGCUUACGCCACCACACCUGGCUAAUUUUUGUAUUUUUAGUAGAGACGGGGUUUCACCAUGUUGGCUAGUCUGGUCUCAAACUCCUGACCUCAGGUGAUCCGCCCAUCUCCACCUGGAGUGGUGGGAUUCUAAGUGUGAGCCACUGCACUCGGCUCUCUGAUAUAUUUCUGUCCAUCUUUCAUGUUCUUGGGUUUCUUCUCAUUCAGAAGCCUUUCAUUGAUUUUCCAGGUAACUUUUCUUGGGAUUCCAUAUCUACAGUAAGUUCCUGCCCUUGAAUCAGUUCUAUUUUAUUGAUUCUGAUAACAUAAUCUGAAAUAAAAAGUAGAGCAUUCAAAUGUCACUGGGGUAUACAGGAACUAAAAUACAUAUACUAGAAGUAGAUGGCUCAAACAUACCAACAAAAUGGUUUUAAAACAUUUGAGGAGGAAAUUGGGGGAUGGUAAUGGAAGACAGGAUGGACUGAACUUCGAAGGCAUGAUUGAAGAAAAGAAUGGAGAAAAAUAGGGAGGAAUGAUAAUCAUGAUCCAAUGAGGAAGCAGAGUAAACAACAGAAGAGAUCUAAGAUAAGAAUAUGUUCACCAGGAAAGGCCCAAAGUUGAGUAGAGAAAAAUAAAAAGAGAGAAAGGAAGUCAACAGUGGCAGGUACCCCAUGAGUGCCAUGAAAUAGUUCUGUGCAGGUUUCCCUGAAGGACUCUGGGAAUACCAAAAAAAUCAGGGAAUCAGAGCACAGGGAAGUAUCCCAUUUCCCAUGUGCAGAACAAAGAGAUUAGACAAAACAAGAUGUUAUCACGGGGAUAGAACAGAAAUUGCUUUGGUCCCUAAAGACCUCACUACUUUUUUUGUAGAGAACACUGGGGAUCUGUCAAGCUUGAAGCUACAUUCUGUGGGUCAUUUCAGACUUCCCAGGCUAACAGUCACUAAUAGAGAGGAGGUUCUUUAACAGACCCUCAACUUGCAUCUGUCUUUACCCAGGGGAUCCAUGUUCCUAUAAUUCCUCUGCCUGUCUUUCCUGGAGAGGUUCCUCUGAGCAGGGUCUCAAUACCGUCAUUUCUCCAGGGCAGGAGAUGUGGCCAUAUCCUCAGCAAUCUAUAGUUUUUGAAAACAUGAGAUUUUCAUACCCAAGGCAUAUUUGCCUGAACUUAAUACCAUUUUUAGGACCCAGAGUAAAGGGGAGAAUUUGUAACUACAUAGGAAGAACACAGAGAAAAGCAGUGUUUUGAGUGGAUAAGAAACAUUAAAUGGAAAAAAAAAAAGACAAAUCAUGAAGACAGUUGAAGCACUAGGACACGGACAAGUCACAGCUAACUCUAGGCAGAGGCAAAGGGAUUCAUUGUGCUAAAAUGUGUUGACUAAAGAGACUCGGACGAAGAAGAGAAGGAGCCAUGGUGAGACAGUGAAUUCAAAUCUUCGAGAAUGUGGAUGAGGAAUAAAGUUCACUAAGCAACCUGUCUGAGAAAAAUGACUCUCAUCUGGGUCUUGGAACUUCUGUGAAGGGCAGGAACACAGGGAUGAGGCAGAACUGAGAAAGCACAUUGCCAAGAGUGAGAUCAACCUUCUCUUGGGGACUUGUUUUACAGCAGAGCCUGCAAUAAUCUCACCAUACCAGCUUGCCACACUGCUUAAAACCCUCUCACUGUUAGUGGUUAUUUAAGGUUAUCUUAAAGUCUUUGGGUGCUUUAAAACUUUAUGUUACAGCUACCUGUCUUGGUCCAUUUUGUGCUGCUAUAACAGUAUACAUAGACGAGGUAAUUUAUAAAGAACAGGAAUUUACUUCCUGACUUCUGGAGGCUCGAAGGUCCAAGAUCAAGUUGCUGACAUCUGGUGAGGGCCUUCCUGCAAUGUCAUCCUAUGGCAGAAGGUGGAGGGGAAGAGAGAAAGAAAAGGGGAAAGGGGUUGGGGGGAAAAACACACCAAACUCAUCCUUUUAUUAGGAACCUACUCCCAUGAUAACCAACCCACUCCCACAAUAAAGACAUUAAUCUUUUCAUGAGGGCAGAGCCCUCAUAACCUAGUCACCUCUUAAAUAUCCCACUUCUCAACACUGUUGCACUGGGGAUUGAGUUUCCAGCAUGUGAACUCUGGGGGACAGGUUCAAAGCGUAGAGCUACCUGAACUAUAUCUGUGUGCAGAAUCUGAAAGCAAAUUGCACAGAUACACAUUUAUAAAAGAAUAUAGUCUUUUAGAACCAUUAGCAGAUAAAAAAGUGGCUAUCAUAGAUGGCAUCCAAAAGACUACUACAGAUAUAAUUAAAAUCCAUAUUAGCAUCAGAAGAAAAUAUAUGGAUUAUUAUAAAAAAGAAGCACAACAUAGAAACUCAAUUUGUAACUGAAUAAAAGAGGUUGAGGAAAAUGGUGUAUUUCCAGUCAAGAUGGCACAGUGAGUUCAUACUUCACCUCCAAAUACAAAAAGUAAUAGAUAAAAAUCUGUAAACACAUCUGUGCUAAAAAAAAAAAAAAAGAAAAAGAAAAAACCCAACAAGAUAAACAUUUCUGUGGACCAGAAAGGAAGCAAAAACACAGAAUGGUGGCUAUAGCUGAAGCUCUGGGCCUGCUGGGCUCCUGGUCUUACACAGUGACUGAAGUCUUGUCACCAGGGGAACCUGGAGAACUACAAGUGCUCCAUGAGAGGGGGGACUGGCACCAUCAUACUGCCUGGUGCCAAAGGCUAGGUGGAACACACAGGCACCCACAUACACAAGUACCUUAAAAUACACAGAGCAAGAUAGAACCCUGUGACCAAGAACCAUGUGAAGCCAUGUGAGGCAAUCGUUCACUGCCUCAAAUGAGGCAAUCUUUUUAUUGGUACCCAACUCCUUUAGGGCAGGGACCCUCAUAGACACCAAAGCUAGGUUUUACACACUGUGAAAGCUAAAUAUUUACUGACGUAUUGGUGGGGGGACUGGAGUCUCGCUAUGUUGCCCAGGUUGGUUUCAGACACUUGGACUCAAGCGAUCUUCCUGCCUCAGCCUCCUGAGUAGCUGACAUUUUCUGACUUCUUAACAGGAGCCACAAAGCUCUCAUGUCCAGGCCCCUGAUCACCUCUUCUCUAGGUCUCUGCAUCCACGCUCCAGUCACACUGGUUUUCUUUCAAUUCCUCAAACCCACCAAUUUAUUUCCCACUCCAGUUUUUGCACAUGCUGUUGUGGUCUGGAAUGCUUUCGUCUCUAUUAUUCACUUAGCUAAUUUCUACAUCACUUUUAAGAUUCAGCUCCCAUAUUACUUCCUCAAAGAGACCUUCCCUGACUACACUCUCUCUCCAUAUACAAUCUGUCACAGUAUAUUUAUUUGUGUGUUUAGUACCUCUGUCAUAAGAUUGUCUCCAUGAAAGCAAAGAUCAUUUCUGCUUUGUUCACUAUUCCUAGAGCCUUGAACAGUGCCUAGCACAUAAAAAGUAAUAUAUAUUUGCCAAAUGAUGGAUGAUUCUAAGGUCUCCAGGGGAGCCAUAUGACACAAGUGUCAACACUAACCACAAUCCUUUUGCUGUUGAGAGUCCUGAGAGUCACUUUUAAGCUGAGUCUCCACAGAAGGAUUGAGAGGCACUGAAGUCUCAGAAAGCACUUCCUGGCCAGGCGCAGUGGCUCACGCCUGUAAUCCCAGCACUUUGGGAGGCAGAGGCAGGUGGAUCAUUUGAGGUCAGGAGUUCGAGACCAUACUGACCAACAUGGCGAAACCCCCUCUCUACUAAAAGUACGAAAAAAUUAGCUGGGCAUGGUGGCAUACGCCUGUAGUCCCAGCUACUUGGGAGGCUGAGGCAGGAGAAUUGCUUGAACCUGGGAGGCGGAGGUUGCAGUGAGCCAAGAUCGCACCACCCCCUCCAGCCUGGGCGACAAAGUGAGACUCUGUCUCAAAAAAAAAAAAAAAAAAAAGAAAAGAAAAAGAAAAAGAAAAAAAAGAAAGCACUUCCUGCACAUGGGCCUGGGCUGAAACCUGAGGACAAGCAGGCUCAUUUGGGCAUCUGAAGGGGCGACAGUGUACAUGAUCCCCAGAGAUCCCACAAAGGACCAGCUUGGACACCCUCUCCAGGCUGUUCUACCCAAGUGUAUAGGACCCUUUCUUACCUCCAGCAAAGCCACUGCCUCCUCUCCAUUCUUUGGAUGAUACUCAUGCAUCCAGGCCAGGAGCUCCUCAGGCAGAAUGGCCAGGAACAGCUCAAGCAACAGCAAGUCUAACAUCUGCUCCUUGGUGUGAAUCUCAGGCCUUAACCACUCACAGCAGAGCUUCCAGAGCUGGCUCCAGGCCUCACAGGGCCCAGGAGUCUCCUUGUAUCAGAACUGUCAGAAACGCUGGCCAAAUAACUACUGUUUGUUUGGGCUACUCCUUUUUGGGCUGGAUCCCUGCUCCAUGGCAAGGCUUUAUUUGUUGUUUGCUUCAAAGAGCUGCUUUGUCUCUUCAGGAGCCCAUGGAAGGGACACAGUGGGCAUUCUAGCUCCAAUGGUCUAAGAGGAUUGCUGCUGUAAGUGUUAUGUUAAAGCACACUCCUAAGGUAACAGAAACUAUAGCUCAAAAAAUAAAAGUGUAAAACAGUUCAAACCUUUUCUCAAAUAGAAGGAAUGUUUGUCAAGAAACAGCAGUUUUGACAGUCCUGAGAAAAUUGUUGGAUGCUUUUUCCCAAAAAUAACAACAAAACAAUGUUGGUAAGGCAAAAUGAAGUUUAUUCUUGUGGGUGAUAAAAAGCACUACCUUGACAGAGUCCUAGUAGCAUCUCUGAGGGAGGAAGGCAAAGUCAGGAUAUUUACAAGAUUUGAAAGGUUUGAUGCUGAUCUUUCUUUUUUUUAUUUUUUAUUUUAUUUAUUAUUAUUAUACUUUAAGUUUUAGGGUACAUGUGCACAAUGUGCAGGUUAGUUACAUAUGUAUACAUGUGCGAUGCUGGUGCGCUGCACCCACUAACUCGUCAUCUAGCAUUAGGUAUAGCUCCCAAUGCUAUCCGUCCCCCCCCCCCCACCCCACAACAGUCCCCAGAGUGUGAUGUUCCCCUUCCUGUGUCCAUGUGUUCUCAUUGUUCAAUUCCCACCUAUGAGUGAGAACAUGCAGUGUUUGGGUUUUUGUUCUUGUGAUAAUUUACUGAAAAUGAUGAUUUCCAAUUUCAUCCAUGUCCCUACAAAGGACAUGAACUCAUCAUUUUUAUGGCUGCAUAGUAUUUCAUGGUGUAUAUGUGCCACAUUUUCUUAAUCCAGUCUAUCAUUGUUGGACAUUUGGGUUGGUUCCAAGUCUUUGCUAUUGUGAAUAAUGCCCCAAUAAACAUAC